rnacentral:misc_RNA from 1 species
GGACAGACAAGGACUUUACUCAUUGCCAUCGGUGAAAUGAAUCCAUUUUCAUCUAUCUGUCUUUCUUGGUUCAACUCGGGAAAUGCUUUUUCGGAAUAUGCUCGUUCAGUAUAAAAAUCGUUGUCACUUCACUACCAAUCUCACCAGAGGAAGUUGAGAAGGGGUUAAGUCCUACAAUUGUUGAUUCCUGGAGCUAGCCAACCGCUUAUUUUAUUCUUUAUCCUAGUAUUCUUCUAUUUGGGUACUGUAAUCUAGC